rnacentral:rRNA from 1 species
AGAAUCAACGCUGGCGGCGUGCCUAACACAUGCAAGUCGAACGCGAAAGUCCCGCAAGGGAUUAGUAGAGUGGCAAACGGGUGAGUAACACGUGGGUGACCUGCCUUCGAGUGGGGGAUAACGUCCCGAAAGGGACGCUAAUACCGCAUAACAUCCUGCCUUUUAAGAGGUGGAGAUCAAAGCUGGGAUCGCAAGACCUGGCGCUGGAAGAGGGGCCCGCGUCCGAUUAGCUAGUUGGUGGGUAAUGGCUCACCAAGGCAUCGAUCGGUA